CCUGGGCUGCAGAGACAUGAAGAAUAUUUACUGCACAGCUCUUAGCCCUAUCUCCCGUUUCCCAAUGCGCCACAUGGGUGUGCCCCUCCCCCAGUGCCCAACCUUCACUCCGUCAGCAGUGAGCUGCUGUGAGGACCCAGCGAGUGCUGAUGAGGGACCCACCACAUGAAUGCCGGGGUCCCAUUCGGGUGGGGAUCUGGACGCUGACGAGCCAGGGCCAGGCCCCUGGCAGAGCAUCUACACCACCCACGAUCCGCAUCCCGCCGUAGCCAGACAUCAGGGGGCGGCGCCCACAAACUGCACUGGAGACAGGUGUCACUUACUCACAGCUGCCAUUCAUGCUGUGCAUGGGCCAGACCAGGGUGUGGAACAGGAGGAGGGAGAGCAGCAGCAUCUUCCACCGGAGCACCAGAUGCCUGCAUCUACGGAGACUUGCCUCACCACUCGUGACAUCAUAAACCA